AGAGUUUGAUCCUGGCUCAGAUUGAACGCUGGCGGCAUGCUUUACACAUGCAAGUCGAACGGCAGCACGGGUGCUUGCACCUGGUGGCGAGUGGCGGACGGGUGAGUAAUACAUCGGAACGUAUCCUAAAGUGGGGGAUAACGCAUCGAAAGAUGUGCUAAUACCGCAUACACUCUGAGGAGGAAAGUAGGGGAUCGAAAGACCUUAUGCUUUUGGAGCGGCCGAUGUCUGAUUAGCUAGUUGGUAAGGUAAUGGCUUACCAAGGCAACGAUCAGUAGUUGGUCUGAGAGGACGACCAGCCACACUGGGACUGAGACACGGCCCAGACUCCUACGGGAGGCAGCAGUGGGGAAUUUUGGACAAUGGGCGCAAGCCUGAUCCAGCAAUGCCGCGUGAGUGAAGAAGGCCUUCGGGUUGUAAAGCUCUUUCAGUUGAGAAGAAAAGAUUGUGACUAAUAAUUGCAAUUCAUGACGGUAUCAACAGAAGAAGCACCGGCUAACUACGUGCCAGCAGCCGCGGUAAUACGUAGGGUGCGAGCGUUGUUCGGAAUUAUUGGGCGUAAAGCGCGUGUAGGCGGUCUGAUUAGUCUGAUGUGAAAGCCCUGGGCUCAACCCAGGAAGUGCAUUGGAUACUGUCAGACUUGAAUACGGGAGAGGGUAGUGGAAUUCCUAGUGUAGGAGUGAAAUCCGUAGAUAUUAGGAGGAACACCGGUGGCGAAGGCGGCUACCUGGACCGAUAUUGACGCUGAGACGCGAAAGCGUGGGUAGCAAACAGGAUUAGAUACCCUGGUAGUCC
rnacentral:rRNA from 1 species